AUGGCUGAAAAUUGGGUAGAAGAAGCCUCGAAAAAUGCUUCUGCUCCGACGUCAUUCUCUGGAUCGCCCCCUAGUUGUCAAACCUCUUCGACAAGAAGAUCAAGGCAAAGAAACAUAUUCCAUCUAUUAAGUCAUCGAGAGGUGUCUCCUCGAACAAAACACCAAGCUAAAAGGCAUUGGAAUAAGCCUCCGACUUGCGGCGCUGGUUACAGUGAGUUAAGAUAUUCAGCUACAGAUGCUAAACAUGAUUUAUUUUCGUGGGCAGAAUCACAGUCCCUGCAUCGUUGGUCUGCAAAGUAUUGCCCUCUUAUGCCACCCCCUAGGUCAACUAUUGCAGCUGCAUUCAGUUCGGAUGGGAAAACACUUGCAUCAACGCAUGGUGACCAUACUGUUAAAAUAAUUGACUGCCAAACAGGGAAAUGUUUGAAAGUGUUGGGUGGACAUCGGCGCACACCUUGGGUGGUUAGAUAUCAUCCCUUACAUUCUGAUAUACUUGCCAGCGGGAGUUUGGAUCAUGAAGUCCGUCUUUGGGAUGCUAAUACCUCAGAUUGUAUUGGAUCUCAGGAUUUCCAGAGGCCAAUUGCAUCCAUUGCAUUUCAUGCAAGGGGGGAGAUUCUAGCAGUUGCAUCAGGUCACAAAUUGUUCAUAUGGAACUACAAUAGGCGAGGGGAGUCUUCUGCCCCGACCAUUAUAUUAAGAACCCGCCGUUCGUUGAGAGCUGUGCAUUUCCACCCUCAUGGUGCUCCAUAUCUUCUUACGGCAGAGGUUAACAAUCUUGACUCCGCAGACUCACAGCUGACCCAUGCAACAUCUACUGGCUAUUCAAACUAUCCCUCAGCUUUGUUUUUUGCAAACAUCAACUCUAGAGGCUAUCCACAUCUUGAGUCUAAUGUGUCAUCACCUUGCCUAAUUUGGCCUGCAUUCCUCAGGGAUGAUGGAAGUCUAUAUAUUCCUCGAAAUGACUUGGCUAGUGGUUCAACCAAUGUGCAGCAGAGUUCAUCAUCUUUAGCUCAAAAUGUAUUGGCGUCAGAUGCUGAAAACCAGCAGUCUGACCAGUCUGUAACCCCUAUGGAUGUAUGUCCAGGGGAACCAUCUGCGUCUAGUGAUGUUCAAAUGCCUUCCACGAGCAACAGCCUGCCACUUCCGGCAAUAGCCAGGCCUUCAGGAUCUGCUGUUGAUCGUAUGCCAGUGAAUUCAUUCACCACUAGUGGGUUAGAUGUUCAAAUGUUUCUAAGAAAUUCAGAGGGUGGAAAUCACCAUCACGAUCUCUUCAGUGACUCGCGUAGCUGGGAGCUGCCUUUUUUGCAUGGUUGGUUGAUGGCCCAAAGUCAGACAGGUGCUUCUUCAUCGAUACCGAUUCCCGCUGGCAGUACUAGAGGAUCAAAUCGACACUACGCCUCACGCCCUCAUGCUUCGGCCUCUGUACCAGGGGUUGGGAAUUCACUUCUGGGUCCACAAAUCGAUGAAGCUGAGGCUCGUGCUGCGUCCUUAGGUGUUGGAUCAGAACUUGCUACCUCACUGUUUUCUGCCGGCGCUGCUGAAUUACCUUGUACAGUGAAGCUUAGAGUAUGGCGGCAUGAUAUCAAGAAUCCAUGUGUUGCAUUAGAAACCAAGGCAUGCUGCUUGACAAUCUCUCAUGCCGUUCUUUGCAGUGAAAUGGGUGCCCAUUUCUCCCCCUGUGGACGAUUUCUGGUGGCUUGUGUUGCAUGUUUGCUGCCUCAAACAGAAGGUGACCAGGGUAACCAAUUACCUGUGCAGUAUGAGUCUACAGGAGCUGGAACAUCACCAACUCGUCACCCACUUCCCUCCCAUGGAGUGAUUUAUGAGCUUCGGGUUUAUUCUCUUGAGGAGGCAACAUUUGGAGAAAUUCUCACGUCCAGAGCAAUAAGAGCGGCUCAUUGUUUAACGUCCAUUCAGUUUUCGCCUACUUCAGAACACAUACUGUUGGCAUAUGGACGUCGUCAUAGCUCGCUGCUCAGGAGCAUUGUUAUGGAUGCGGAGACGACUGGAAUUCCUGUAUAUACUAUCUUAGAGGUUUACCGAGUAUCGGACAUGGAGCUGGUAAGAGUUCUUCCUAGUGCUGAAGAUGAAGUCAAUGUUGCAUGCUUUCAUCCUUCCCCUGGAGGUGGUCUUGUUUAUGGGACUAAGGAAGGGAAGCUCAGGAUCCUACAACACAAUGGCGCAGACGCUGCAAGCAUGGGGCUGAAUUGCUUUAUCGAGGAAAAUAUGCUUGAGGUUCAGAGGUAUGCGUUGGAAGGCUGA
rnacentral:rRNA from 1 species